UACGUAGGGUGCAAGCGUUAAUCGGAAUUACUGGGCGUAAAGCGUGCGCAGGCGGUUAUGCAAGACAGAUGUGAAAUCCCCGGGCUCAACCUGGGAACUGCAUUUGUGACUGCAUGGCUAGGAGUGCGGCAGGAGGGGGAUGGAAUUCCGCGUGUAGCAGUGAAAUGCGUAGAUAUGCGGAGGAACACCGAUGGCGAAGGCAAUCCCCUGGGCCUGCACUGACGCUCAUGCACGAAAGCGUGGGGAGCAAACAGG
rnacentral:rRNA from 1 species